rnacentral:rRNA from 1 species
GACGUAGGGCGCGAGCGUUGUCCGGAUUUAUUGGGCGUAAAGAGCUCGUAGGCGGCUUGUUGCGUCAGCUGUGAAAACCCGCAGCUCAACUGUGGGCUUGCAGCCGAUACGGGCAGGCUAGAGUUCGGUAGGGGAGACUGGAAUUCCUGGUGUAGCGGUGAAAUGCGCAGAUAUCAGGAGGAACACCAGUGGUGCAGACGGCGCCCUGGGUCCGAACUGACGCUGAAGCACGAAAGCGUGGGGAGCGAACGGG